GGUGCUCUGGGCCCCGUGCUCAUUCCGGGCCUCGCAGCUGAGUCUGAGGUCGGAACCCAGAGGCCUCCUGAGGCUCAGGGAGCUGUUGGCCCAGGGCCCCUCGGAGCUGGAGGUGACGGUCAAGGAGGCGUCGCUGUGGUUCCCCUCUAGCAGCCCCUCCCCCAGCCGCCAGCGCAGGGUGGGGGCCGGCCGGGCUCGGGCGGAGCAGGUGCAGCCCAGCGCCUCGCCCUCCCAGGAGCAGGAGGGGCCGAGCAGCCGCGGGGGGCCUGCAGGGUGGGGGAGGGGCAGGGUCAGCGACGCCUCUGCUCCCCAGGCCCCGGGUGUCCCGCCCCCCCCCCCGGGGGUCCCCACACUCACAGACCACAGAGAGACGCAGGGAGACGUGCUGGGAGCCCAGCGAGUUCUGAGCUCGGCAGGUGAGGACUCCUUCCUCCGCAGCCCCGACUUGAGGCAGCUCCAGGAUGUGGGUCCUGUACAUGGGGGUGGCAUUCAGGGCAGGGGACCCCCGGAACCAGCUCAGCUCGGCGGGGGGGUUGCCGGCAGCAGCACAGAGCAGCCGCAAAGCUUGGCCCUCCCAGAUGAGAAGGGAUGAGGUGUUUUCCAGAAUGCUGAGGGCUUUGGGGGAGAGAUGUAGAGAGAGGAGAGAGAGACAUUGAGACAGCCGCUGGAGACCGGCAGUCUCCACGUCUCCCUCCGUCCCAGGAUCUGGUUGGCAUCUCCCUCGCCAUCCCUGGCCCACUGACUUGGGUCCAACAGGGCUCAAAGGCUGGGCUUUACGCCCAAAAGAGGUUGACCUCAAGUGUCCGGGCUUCACAUCUUCCGAGAGGGCUCGGUGCCCCCACUGGGACACGCCUGGAUCUUUUGGUGGCCUUGGUCAGUGAACUCGGCAGGAAACAGGAUGGAGGAGGCUGGGGCGGGAGGGGAGGAGGAAAACCACAGCAGCGCCCCGUAGAGGUGAACAGAGUGUGCCUGAGCAGCCACUUUUGCACCCAGGCAAGGUGGAGGAGGGAGGGUGGUGAUCUUUAUCCGUGCUCUUCCCUUAUCUGGUCCCAUUCCAGCUACGAUCCCCAUCCCACAUGGUGGAAGCCGCCCCCCCCCCAUCCAAGGCCAGGUCCCAGCCCCCAAGAGGACAGUUCUUUCCUACCUGUGACAUUGCUGACGAUGCUGAUGGUGAGGUUGUGGGGGGCAUCUGGGGUAGAAAGAUAUGGUCCUGCUUCAGAGGUGAGGUUGGUGCCAUGGUCCUGCGGCCUCGGGGUGAAGGUCACCACCGAGGAGUGCAGGGUCUCGGGGUCCAGCGAGUCCAGAGCAGCCCCCAUCCAGGAGAAUGUGAGAGGUCUUCCCCCUUCGCAGGACCCCGGCAGGCUGCAGCCACAAGACCCGGAGCAGGGAAUGUUCCGGCGUCCUGUGCCUGCUCUAAGAGGGGGUGUCCACCUCCCAGAGCCCUCCCCUGGGGCCCCUGCUGUACCUGCCACCCUCAGAGUCAUCGUCGUAUGUGUGUAAGUAUAUUUCAUGUCUUCUCUCUCCACUCGGAAAAAGUAGACUCCCUCGUCACUCCUCAUGGCGUCUCUGAUCCUCAGGGAGCAGUUGUAGGCCCAGGGGUCCCCGAUGAGGCGGAAUCGGCCCUGAGCCUCUGUCCCCACUGCUCUCUGUGGGUUGUUUGUAGCCACCAGAUAACGGUUGCUUGAGGUGUCCCUAUCCUGGAACCAGUAUAUGUAGAGCAUCGUCCGGGAAUACCACCGCUUUCUGGGGUAGGAGAAGGAACAGGGCACAUGGACACACAGACCCUCCUGCACGGUCACGGAUUCCUUCACUCGGAGCUGGUACUCUGGAUCCUCCCCUGGGGGACACGGAGGCUCAGCCGGGGCUCCAGCCCCUCCCACCUGUGCCCAGCCCUCCUCCCGAGGCCCACUCACCCCCCAACAGCAGGGGCAGCAGCAGCAGGGGCAGCAGCAGCAGGGGCACCAUGUCUGCACCGGCCAGGGCAGGAGCCCGGAUCCAGGUCCUUCUGUCAGGGAGGGAAAUGCCCCAAAUGUGGGGUGAGGUCAAGGAAGCCCCAACAGGAAGCCGUGUCUGACAGAGCUGUGGUCACCACAGAAGGGGAACUUGGGCAGCACAGGCUGUGGGGGGGUAGGGGGGUGCGGUGAGUUGGGAACUAAGAAAUUAUCUUGUCUCAUCUCUGCAUCUGACACAGCCCGUGAAAAUACCGAGGGCCCCGGAGGCUGGGGUGCUAUCCAGAUCUGAAUCUGAGGGUGGUCACCCGGCCAAUGCCAUUUAAGUCAAGAGUGAGGUGAGCGAAGGGCAAGAGCAG